rnacentral:rRNA from 1 species
UAAGGAAUAUUGGUCAAUGGGCGCAAGCCUGAACCAGCCAUGCCGCGUGCAGGAGGACGGCCCUAUGGGUUGUAAACUGCUUUUUGCAGGGGAACAAACCCCGGUACGUGUACCGGGUUGAGUGUGAUCCUUGAGAAUAACUGGAUCGGAGCUAACUCCGUAGCCCAGCCAGCCGCGGCUAAUACAGGAGGAGUCCGAGCGUUAUCCGGAUUUAUUGGGUUUAAAGGGUGCGUAGGCGGCGUGCUAAGUCAGUGGUGAAAGACGGUGGCUCAACCAUCGCAGUGCCGUUGAUACUGGCGCGCUUGAAUUCGGAUGAGGUAGGCGGAAUGUGGCAAGUAGCGGUGAAAUGCAUAGAUAUGCCACAGAACACCGAUCGCGAAGGCAGCUUACCAAGGCGAUAUUGACGCUGAUGCACGAAAGCGUGGGAUCGAACAGGAUUAGAUACCC